GUCCACGCCCUAAACGAUGUCAACUAGCCGUUGGGUUUAUUUAAAAACUUAGUGGCGCAGCUAACGCGAUAAGUUGACCGCCUGGGGAGUACGGUCGCAAGAUUAAAACUCAAAGGAAUUGACGGGGGCCCGCACAAGCGGUGGAGCAUGUGGUUUAAUUCGAUGCAACGCGAAGAACCUUACCAGGCCUUGACAUACAGAGAACUUUCCAGAGAUGGAUUGGUGCCUUCGGGAACUCUGAUACAGGUGCUGCAUGGCU
rnacentral:rRNA from 1 species